CUUCACGUUGAGCCUCACGCACAAUACCUGAAGAUGAAGUUUUGUUCGUUCGGCUCGCGUUAUGCAGGU
rnacentral:pre_miRNA from 13 species